AGCGGCGGACGGGUGAGUAAUGCCUAGGAAUCUGCCUGGUAGUGGGGGACAACGUUUCGAAAGGAACGCUAAUACCGCAUACGUCCUACGGGAGAAAGCAGGGGACCUUCGGGCCUUGCGCUAUCAGAUGAGCCUAGGUCGGAUUAGCUUGUUGGUGAGGUAAUGGCUCACCAAGGCGACGAUCCGUAACUGGUCUGAGAGGAUGAUCAGUCACACUGGAACUGAGACACGGUCCAGACUCCUACGGGAGGCAGCAGUGGGGAAUAUUGGACAAUGGGCGAAAGCCUGAUCCAGCCAUGCCGCGUGUGUGAAGAAGGUCUUCGGAUUGUAAAGCACUUUAAGUUGGGAGGAAGGGCAGCUAGCGAAUACCUGGUUGUUUUGACGUUACCGACAGAAUAAGCACCGGCUAACUCUGUGCCAGCAGCCGCGGUAAUACAGAGGGUGCGAGCGUUAAUCGGAAUUACUGGGCGUAAAGCGCGCGUAGGUGGUUUGUUAAGUUGGAUGUGAAAGCCCCGGGCUCAACCUGGGAACUGCAUCCAAAACUGGCAAGCUAGAGUAUGGUA
rnacentral:rRNA from 1 species